rnacentral:rRNA from 1 species
ACGAACGCUGGCGGCGGGCUUAACACAUGCAAGUCGAACGGAAAGGCCCUGCUUUUGUGGGGUGCUCGAGUGGCGAACGGGUGAGUAACACGUGAGUAACCUGCCCUUGACUUUGGGAUAACUUCAGGAAACUGGGGCUAAUACCGGAUAGGAGCUCCUGCUGCAUGGUGGGGGUUGGAAAGUUUCGGCGGUUGGGGAUGGACUCGCGGCGUAUCAGCUUGUUGGUGGGGUAGUGGCUUACCAAGGCUUUGACGGGUAGCCGGCCUGAGAGGGUGACCGGCCACAUUGGGACUGAGAUACGGCCCAGACUCCUACGGGAGGCAGCAGUGGGGAAUAUUGCACAAUGGGCGGAAGCCUGAUGCAGCAACGCCGCGUGCGGGAUGACGGCCUUCGGGUUGUAAACCGCUUUCGCCUGUGACGAAGCGUGAGUGACGGUAAUGGGUAAAGAAGCACCGGCUAACUACGUG